UACGUAGGGUGCAAGCGUUGUCCGGAAUUAUUGGGCGUAAAGGGCUCGUAGGCGGUCCAUCGCGUCGGGAGUGAAAACCUGCAGCUUAACUGUGGGCGUGCGGUCGAUACGGGCAUCACUGGAGUUCGGCAGGGGAGACUGGAAUUCCUGGUGUAGCGGUGAAAUGCGCAGAUAUCAGGAGGAACACCGGUGGCGAAGGCGGGUCUCUGGGCCGAUACUGACGCUGAGGAGCGAAAGCGUGGGGAGCAAACAGGA
rnacentral:rRNA from 1 species